rnacentral:rRNA from 1 species
AGAGUUUGAUCCUGGCUCAGGAUGAACGCUGACAGAAUGCUUAACACAUGCAAGUCAACUUGAACUUCGGUUUGGGUGGCGGACGGGUGAGUAACGCGUAAAGAACUUGCCUCACAGAUAGGGACAACAUUUGGAAACGAAUGCUAAUACCUGAUAUUAUGAUUUUAGGGCAUCCUAGGAUUAUGAAAGCUAUAUGCGCUGUGAGAGAGCUUUGCGUCCCAUUAGCUAGUUGGAGAGGUAACGGCUCACCAAGGCGAUGAUGGGUAGCCGGCCUGAGAGGGUGAUCGGCCACAAGGGGACUGAGACACGGCCCUUACUCCUACGGGAGGCAGCAGUGGGGAAUAUUGGACAAUGGACCAAGAGUCUGAUCCAGCAAUUCUGUGUGCACGAUGAAGUUUUUCGGAAUGUAAAGUGCUUUCAGUUGGGAAGAAAAAAAUGACGGUACCAACAGAAGAAGUGACGGCUAAAUACGUGCCAGCAGCCGCGGUAAUACGUAUGUCACAAGCGUUAUCCGGAUUUAUUGGGCGUAAAGCGCGUCUAGGUGGUUAUGUAAGUCUGAUGUGAAAAUGCAGGGCUCAACUCUGUAUUGCGUUGGAAACUGUGUAACUAGAGUACUGGAGAGGUAAGCGGAACUACAAGUGUAGAGGUGAAAUUCGUAGAUAUUUGUAGGAAUGCCGAUGGGGAAGCCAGCUUACUGGACAGAUACUGACGCUGAAGCGCGAAAGCGUGGGUAGCAAACAGGAUUAGAUACCCUGGUAGUCCACGCCGUAAACGAUGAUUACUAGGUGUUGGGGGUCGAACCUCAGCGCCCAAGCAAACGCGAUAAGUAAUCCGCCUGGGGAGUACGUACGCAAGUAUGAAACUCAAAGGAAUUGACGGGGACCCGCACAAGCGGUGGAGCAUGUGGUUUAA